UCGCUGGUUCAACUCCCGCUCAAAGCAAGCCUUGUCUUCAUCUGUCAGCUCCUCCAAAAUUUAAAAACACAAACAAGAUAACUCCUACUUUAUUUUCCAACCAUCAAUUUUUUAUUCACCCAGCCUAAAAGUCCUGAUUAUCAGUUCUGGGUCCCUGACAAUGACUGUUGGGUACAAACUGAGAAGCUGUGCUCUGAAGGUAGGGCUGGGCUUUUCACUGACCAUGUAGGUGGAUUAGUUGUGUGGGCAAAGUGUGUCAUCAUAGCCACUAUGUUUUCUGCACUUGGAGUAGACAGCACCUUGAUAGCUCAGUUGGUAGAGCAGAGGACUGUAGGCAGUUCCUCCUAUGAAGUGCUGUCGUUCCAAGGUCGCUGGUUCAACUCCUGCUCAAAGCAAGCCUUGUCUUCAUCUGUCAGCUCCUCCAAAAUUUAAAAACACAAACAAGAUAACUCCUACUUUAUUUUCCAACCAUCAAUUUUUUAUUCACCCAGCCUAAAAGUCCUGAUUAUCAGUUCUGGGUCCCUGGCAAUGACUGUUGGGUACAAACUGAGAAGCUGCGCUCUGAAGGUAGGGCUGGGCUUUUCACUGACCAUGUAGGUGGAUUAGUUGUGUGGGCAAAGUGUGUCAUCAUAGCCACUAUGUUUUCUGCACUUGGAGUAGACAGCACCUUGAUAGCUCAGUUGGUAGAGCAGAGGACUGUAGGCAGUUCCUCCUAUGAAGUGCUGUGGUUCCAGGGUCGCUGGUUCAACUCCCGCUCAAAGCAAGCCUUGUGUUCAUCUGUCAGCUCCUCCAAAAUUUAAAAACACAAACAAGAUAACUCCUACUUUAUUUUCCAACCAUCAAUUUUUUAUUCACCCAGCCUAAAAGUCCUGAUUAUCAGUUCUGGGUCCCUGGCAAUGACUGUUGGGUACAAACUGAGAAGCUGUGCUCUGAAGGUAGGGCUGGGCUUUUCACUGACCAUGUAGGUGGAUUAGUUGUGUGGGCAAAGUGUGUCAUCAUAGCCACUAUGUUUUCUGCACUUGGAGUAGACAGCACCUUGAUAGCUCAGUUGGUAGAGCAGAGGACUGUAGGCAGUUCCUCCUAUGAAGUGCUGUGGUUCCAUGGUCGCUGGUUCAACUCCCGCUCAAAGCAAGCCUUGUCUUCAUCUGUCAGCUCCUCCAAAAUUUAAAAACACAAACAAGAUAACUCCUACUUUAUUUUCCAACCGUCAAUUUUUUAUUCACCCAGCCUAAAAGUCCUGAUUAUCAGUUCUGGGUCCCUGGCAAUGACUGUUGGGUACAAACUGAGAAGCUGCGCUCUGAAGGUAGGGCUGGGCUUUUCACUGACCAUGUAGGUGGAUUAGUUGUGUGGGCAAAGUGUGUCAUCAUAGCCACUAUGUUUUCUGCACUUGGAGUAGACAGCACCUUGAUAGCUCAGUUGGUAGAGCAGAGGACUGUAGGCAGUUCUUCCUAUGAAGUGCUGUCGUUCCAGGGUCGGUGGUUCAACUCCCGCUCAAAGCAAGCCUUGUGUUCAUCUGUCAGCUCCUCCAAAAUUUAAAAACACAAACAAGAUAACUCCUACUUUAUUUUCCAACCAUCAAUUUUUUAUUCACCCAGCCUAAAAGUCCUGAUUAUCAGUUCUGGGUCCCUGGCAAUGACUGUUGGGUACAAACUGAGAAGCUGUGCUCUGAAGGUAGGGCUGGGCUUUUCACUGACCAUGUAGGUGGAUUAGUUGUGUGGGCAAAGUGUGUCAUCAUAGCCACUAUGUUUUCUGCACUUGGUGUAGACAGCACCUUGAUAGCUCAGUUGGUGGAGCAGAGGACUGUAGGCAGUUCCUCCUGUGAAGUGCUGUGGUUCCAAG
rnacentral:lncRNA from 1 species